rnacentral:rRNA from 1 species
ACAUCCAGCGAACUUGGGCAGAGAUGCCUUGGUGCCUUCGGGAACGCUGAGACAGGUGCUGCAUGGCUGUCGUCAGCUCGUGUUGUGAAAUGUUGGGUUAAGUCCCGNAACGAGCGCAACCCUUAUCCUUUGUUGCCAGCGAUUCGGUCGGGAACUCAAAGGAGACUGCCGGUGAUAAACCGGAGGAAGGUGGGGAUGACGUCAAGUCAUCAUGGCCCUUACGAGUAGGGCUACACACGUGCUACAAUGGCGCAUACAAAGAGAAGCGACCUCGCGAGAGCAAGCGGACCUCAUAAAGUGCGUCGUAGUCCGGAUCGGAGUCUGCAACUCGACUCCGUGAAGUCGGAAUCGCUAGUAAUCGUGGAUCAGAAUGCCACGGUGAAUACGUUCCCGGGCCUUGUACACACCGCCCGUCACACCAUGGGAGUGGGUUGCAAAAGAAGUAGGUAGCUUAACCUCCGGGAGGGCGCUUACCACUUUGUGAUUCAUGACUGGGGUGAAGUCGUAACAAGGUAGGCGUAGCGAG